GAUCAAGUAGUGUAGUGGUUAGCACGUCGUACUAUCGUUUCCUGGUAUUGAGCAUCGAGUAAUAGAUGUUCGAUACCAAGAGAGAUACGGAGGCCUGGGUUCGACUCCCAGCUUGACCA